rnacentral:rRNA from 1 species
GACGAACGCUGGCGGCGUGCUUAACACAUGCAAGUCGAACGGAAAGGCCCUGCUUUUGUGGGGUGCUCGAGUGGCGAACGGGUGAGUAACACGCGAGUAACCUGCCUUUGACUUUGGGAUAACUUCUGGUAACUGGGGCUAAUACCGGAUAGGAGCUCUUGCUGCAUGGUGGGGGUUGGCAAGUUUAGGCGGUUGGGGAUGGACUCGCGGCUUAUCAGGUUGUUGGCGGGGUCGUGGCUUACCAAGGCUUCGACGGGUAGACGGCCUGAUAGGGUAGCCGGACACGUUACGACUGGAAUGCGACCCAGACUCCAACGGGAGGCGACGGAGGAGAAGGUUGCACAAUAGGCGGAGGCCAAGUGCAACAACGCCGUGUGGGGUAAGACAGGAUUCGGGUAGUAUACCGCAUCCGCCUGUGACGGGACGAUAGUGACGGUAAUGGGUAAAGAAGCACCGGCUAACUACGUG